rnacentral:lncRNA from 1 species
UUACAAUAGACAACUUUCGAGUUCGAUGCAUUUCCGUCAAAAACUCUGGUUUUAGUGAACGUCAUUUGUGCGUUUAGGGGCGUCGUCACUUCCGUUUCAAUGUUGAGCGAGUGGUUGGAAAACUAUAAUUCUAUAUUGUACGAAUUAUUCAGCAAAUUAAAUUCUCAAAAUUGACAAUCAGCACUGCUGUCAUUAGGGAAUUGUCAUUAAGUACCUACAGAACAACCAUUAUUUCUAGUUUAUCCUGCACAAAACGAUCACUAAGACGCUUGAUGAACGUAAAUAGUGCAGGGAUACAGGCGAUCCCCUCUAUCUGGUAAAUGACGUCAUAAAGGCGCACAUAAUUGACGAGUUUUUGCCGGUGACGGAUGAACUCGAAAGUGGUCUAUUGCAGUUACGUUACUACAAAAAGAGGGGUUAUAUUUCACUUGAUUUUAAAAAACAUGUAAUACGAAUAAAGUAGAUUGAUAUGAUUGGUUUGCCUUAGCUAAAUGUCCCCUGCCACUACCUGUGUAAUUG